CACGUAGGGCGCAAGCGUUGUCCGGAAUUACUGGGCGUAAAGCGCACGUAGGCGGAUCCUUAAGUCAGGGGUGAAAUCCCGGGGCUCAACCUCGGAACUGCCUUUGAUACUGGGGAUCUCGAGUCCGGGAGAGGUGAGCGGAACUGCGAGUGUAGAGGUGAAAUUCGUAGAUAUUCGCAAGAACACCAGUGGCGAAGGCGGCUCACUGGCCCGGUACUGACGCUGAGGUGCGAAAGCGUGGGGAGCAAACAGG
rnacentral:rRNA from 1 species